rnacentral:lncRNA from 1 species
GACAUCCUUCCUUCAUACUGGAGUCUUUGCCCAGAGUGUGACCCUGUCAGUAAGCAUCUCAGAUGCCAUGUGCCACAGCACUGGGAAGAGAACGGGGCUGAAUGUUAACAAGAAAGUGGAAGGAAGCUCUGUCUGAAGAGAAACAGGAGGCCAGCACCAGCUGCACACCUGUGAUCCCAGCCCUCGGGGAGCUGGAGGGACAAGCAGAUGUGACAUUCAAGGUCAGCUUGGACUACCUGAGAUAAUUUAGCUCAUAAACAAAACCACUCAAACAAAAGAAAGCCACAUGGAGGCAGGAGGCUCCCCUAACAAGCAGGAUUUAUGCAUAUCUCCUGCUCUGCUUGGCCUGAGAGCUUUUCCCACUUUGCCUACAGGCAUCCAAAUAAUGAAUUUGUGUUCGUUGUGUUAAGAGGCACAUCAGCUCCCUAUCAGUCUGGCCUUCCCGGUGCUCUACUGAGCACAGAAGCACUUAUUGUUAUCUCUCACCAAUCUUGUACCCCUUGUAGACUUGCCAUUCCUUUCCAACUUCAAUAAGUUUCUCCUUAAAUAACCUUGUCUAAUUAAGUUCUCCUCCCCAACACCCCAAAUAAGUCCCAAUCUGUCUUACAGCCCUUCAGUCCUAAGACUCCAAUAAAGUUCUUUGUUCUU